ensembl:snRNA U6 U6 spliceosomal RNA
GUGCUUGCUUCAGCAGCACAUAUACUAAAAUUGGAAUAAUAGAAAAUUUAACAUGGCCCCUGAGUAAGGGUGACUUGCAAAUUCAUGAAGCAUUCCAUAUUUUU